UACGGGGGGGGGCAAGCGUUGUUCGGAAUUACUGGGCGUAAAGGGCUCGUAGGCGGCCAACUAAGUCGGAUGUGAAAUCCCCAGGCUUAACCUGGGAACUGCAUCCGAUACUGGAUGGCUUGAAUUCGGGAGAGGGAUGCAGAAUUCCAGGUGUAGCGGUGAAAUGCGUAGAUAUCUGGAGGAAUACCGGUGGCGAAGGCGGCAUCCUGGACCGACAUUGACGCUGAGGAGCGAAAGCUAGGGGAGCAAACAGGG
rnacentral:rRNA from 1 species